CCUUGGCCAGGACUUAGGCAGUCGGUGUGACAAAGAGGCUUGGUGUAGGAGAAAAGGGAUUAGGACAAAGUCCCAGGUCCCGGGCUUGGCUCUCAGGGUCUCAAGGUACUGUCUGCACUGGGCAGGCGCUGCGCUGGGGAUUCCCCACUGCGCUGAGUUUCACUUCUCCCAACCUGUGUUGGGUCCUUUUUACAGGACACUCGUGACGCGGCCCCAGUUCCCACUCCCAUUGGGUGUCGGAUUCUAGAGAAGCCAAUCAGGGUCUCUGCGGUCCGGCUUCUAAAGUCCCCACUCAGACUCAGAUUCUCCCCGGACGCCUAGGAUGGGGUCAUGGCGCCUCUAGCCCUCCUCCUGCUGCUCUCGGGGGUCCUGGCCCUGACCGAGACCUGGGCCGGCUCCCACUCCAUGAGGUAUUUCACCACCGCCGUGUCUCGGCCCGGCCGCGGGCAGCCCCGCUUCAUCGCCGUGGGUUAUGUGGACGACACGCAGUUCGUGCGGUUCGACAGCGACGCCGCGAGUCCGAGGAUGCAGCCGCGGGCGCCGUGGAUAGAGCAGGAGGGGCCGGAGUAUUGGGACCGGGAGACACACAAAGCCAAGGCCCACGCACAGGUUUUCCGAGUGAACCUGCGCACCGCGCUUCGCUACUACAACCAGAGCGAGGCCGGGUCUCACACCUUCCAGAGGAUGCACGGCUGCGACCUGGGACCCGACGGGCGCCUCCUCCUCGGGUAUCACCAGUUAGCCUGCGAUGGCAAGGAUUACAUCGCCCUGAACGGGGACCUGAGCUCCUGGACCGCCGCGGAUAUGGCGGCUCAGGUCACACAGCGCAAGUGGGAGGCGGCCCGUGAAGCUGAGCAGCGGAGAGCCUACCUGGAGGGCGAGUGCCUGGAGUCGCUCCGCAGAUACCUGGAGAACGGGAAGGAGACGCUGCAGCGCGUGGAUCCCCCAAAGACACACGUCACCCACCACCUCGUCUCUGACCAUGAGGCCACCUUGAGGUGCUGGGCCCUGGGCUUCUACCCUGCGGAGAUCACACUGACCUGGCAGCGAGAUGAGGAGGAGCAAACUCAGGACACUGAGCUUGUGGAGACCAGGCCAGCAGGGGACAGAACCUUCCAGAAAUGGGCAGCUGUGGUGGUACCUUCUGGAGAAGAGCAGAGAUACAUGUGCCAUGUGCAGCACCAGGGGCUGCUGGAGCCCCUCACCCUGAGAUGGGAACGGGUUUCCCAGCCCUCCAUCCCCAUCGUGGGCAUCGUUGCUGGCCUGGCUGUCUUAGGAACUGUGGUCACCGUAGCUGUGGUUGCUGCUGUGAUGUGGUGGACAGAGAGCUCAGGGAGCAGCAGUGCCCAGGGCUCUGAUCAGGACUCUGAUGAGUCUCUCAUGGCCUGUAAAGCCUGAGACAGCUGCCUUGUGUGGGACUGAGAUG